UGUGACUCCAGUCGGCGUCUCAACAGUCUCCGGUGUCCACGCGUUGACUGCCGUGUGUGACUCCAGUGGUCUUUCUAUUUUCUCAUCAAAUUGAGACUUUGGGGAAACUACACAGCAGCAAAACAGGAUAUAUCCUCUUAAAAAUAGCUCGAGCCGGCCGGGUGCAGUGGCUCAUGCCUGGAAUCCCAGCACUUUGGGAGGUGGAGGUGGGCGGAUCACGUGAGGUCAGGAGUUUGAGACCAGCCUGGCCAACAUGUUGAAACCCCAUCUCUACUAAAAAUAAAAAAUUAGCCAGGCAUGGUGGCAGGCACCUGUAAUCCCAGCUACUUGGGAGGCUGAGGCAGGAGAAUGGCUUGAACCUGGGAGGCAGAGGUUGCAGUGAGCCGACAUCGUGCCAUUGCACUCCAGCCUGGGGGACAAGAGCAAGACUUCGCCUCAAAAAAAAAAAAAAAAAACCCAGCUUGAGCCAAGUGUGGGUGGCUCCCGCCUGGAAUCCCAGCACUUUGGGAGGCUGAGGUGGGCAGAUCACUUGAGGCCAGGAGUUUGAGACCAGCCUGGCCAACAUCACAAAAUCCCAUCUCUACUAAAAAUACAAAAAUUAACCAGGAGUGGUGGCAGCAUCUGCCUAUAAUCCCAGCUACUUGGGAGCCUAAGGCACGAGAAUCACUUGAAGCUGGGAGACAGAGUUUGUAGUGAGCCAAAAUCGUGCCACUGCUCUCCAGCAUGGAUGACAGAGCAAGACUCUGUCUCAAAAAAAAAAAAGCUUGAAAAUUUAAAAAUAUCUCAAUAAUUAUGAGAUGCAGUGAUUUUUUUUUUUUUACUUCCCUAAGCUGGGUUUCCAGGUAUCUCUAGGUUCAGCUCCUCUGGGGCUGGAAGUACAUGAAGGGCAGCAUUGCCCACCUUGACCAGAGCAGGCUCGGAGCAGGGCAGUGGAAGAGCUGGUCCCAGCUCAGCCCAGCCUGCUGGGUCAGCAUCCAUCUGAAAGGUCAUCUCUACCCAGGAACUUGGUGGCUUCCAGCUCCACCCUAACAGAAACCUCCCCAGCAUCUUGCCGAGUUGUAAUCCAGGGUGGUAGUAUAGACGGUCUUGGGGUAGCUGGUAUAGACGGUCUUGGGGUAGCUGGUAUAGACGGGCUUGGGGUAGCUGGUAUAGACGGGCUUGGGGUAGCUGGUAUAGACGGGCUUGGGGUAGCUGGUAUAGACGGGCUUGGGGUAGCUGGUAUAGACGGGCUUGGGGUAGCUGGUAUAGACGGGCUUGGGGUAGCUGGUAUAGACGGGCUUGGGGUAGCUGGUAUAGACGGGCUUGGGGUAGCUGGUAUAGACGGGCUUGGGGUAGCUGGUAUAGACGGGCUUGGGGUAGCUGGUAUAGACGGGCUUGGGGUAGCUGGUAGUGGUGCUCAGGAGGCGUGUGGGCUGCUGGUGCAGCUGGAAUUCCAGCGCACCUCAGCCAUGGUGUUGCGCCAGGUGUGGUUGGGGAUGCAGGGGACCUUCCGGCCGCAGGAGGCCCCUGCCAGGCACAGGCAGCUGCGCGGUGUGGAAGAAGUGCCGCUCGGAGUCAUGCUUGACAAGGAAGUACACCUUACUCCUCUCAGUGGUGAGGGGUCAAACCACUCCUUCCCAGCGAUGGGGCCAGCAGCCUGGUGAGGGCUAGGCACCGGGGAGGGAUGCUGGAUUUGGAGCUGGGGGGAAGGGGUCACCCUGCAUUGGGCUCCAGUGCUCCGGGUGCCAUGCCUGCUCCCCCACCACUGCCACCGCAGCCGCCGCGGGACCCCAGGGGCUGGGGCUGAAGAGCAGCCUCGAGCCGGGGUGUCCAGGACGCAGUCGCCCUUCUUCCUCGUGUCCGUGAGCUCAGGCACAACCUGCAGCUUAGCCAGCCCACUAUGGCUGCGUGCGUGGCAGGGCCCGGGCCACCAUGGCUGCAUGCAUGGUGUAGGGCACAUGAUUAUUUUAGCCUCUGGUAUCACUAGCCAUCCCUAAAGUCUCCAAUGGUCUGUUCCUGUCUUUCCCUCUGGUUCACUUGUGGGGUCAUGUUGUCUUCUGUUCUUUGUUAUUUCUUAUUUUUUUCUUGAGACGGAGUCUUGCUCUGUCGCCCAGGCUGGAGUGCGUUGGUGCGAUCUUGGCUCACUGCAACCUCUGCCUCCCAGGAUUAAGCGAUUCCCCUGCCUCAGCCUCCCAAGUAGCUGGGAUUAUGGGCACCUGCCACCAUACCCAGCUAAUUUUUCUAUGUGUGUGUGUUUUGUUUUUUGUUUUUUGUUUUUUUUUUUUUUUUUGAGAUGGAAUCUCACUCAAUUGCCCAGGCUGCAGUGCAAUGGCGCAAUCUUGGCUCACUGCAACCUCCACCUCCUGGGUUCAAGAAAUUCUCCUGCCUCAGCCUCGCAAGUAGCUGGGAUUACAGGCCCCUACCACCACAGUGGGCUAAUUUUUGUAUUUUUAGUAGAGACAGGGUUUCACCACGUUGGCCAGGCUGGUCUCGAACUCCUGACCUCAGGCAAUCUGCCCACCUCGGCCUCCCAAAGGGCUGGGAUUGUAGGCAUGAGCCACCAUGCCUGGCCUAAUUUUUCUGUUUUUAGUAGAGACAGGACUUCACCAUGUUGGCCAGGCUGGUCUCAAAUUCCUGACCUCAAGUGAUGUGCCCACCUCGGCUGCCCAAAGUGCUGGGAUUACAGGCGUGAGCUUCCGUGCCUGGCCUGAACUGCUAAGUGUUUGUGAAGAAUUAUUUGGGGGCCUAUUUGAGAGCUGUUAUAUGGAUCAUCCUCCUGGAGAGGGUUCUUAAGCCUCUGAGACCAGGUUUGGGGCUGAGGCUUUCUGACCCACACAAGUCAUGCUGACCCCUGAAGGGCCGCAGGCCAGAUCUUGCCAGGUGAGCACUUUCCCUGCUCACAUUCAGGAUAGGGCGAGGGGGUUGGUACUGAUUCACCCUGAGGGCCUAGAUUUGGGGGCUUCAGCUUGCUGCAGAUAGGUGCUCCCUUCACUCUCACCUGAGGCUGGGCUGGAGCCUGGUGUCUGCCCCACCCUGCUGGUCAGCCCCCCAGGACCUGAGCCCCGUAAGCCUGGACUGGCCACGCCCUGGGGCAGCAGCACUGGGUGCUUGGCGCUCACGACCUUCCUGGGCCCCUGCGUCCCUCACUUCUCCCUUGUUUCUACCUUCCUGGCUUGUCAGAUUCCCACAGCUCUUAAGGAGAAAUUCAGUAUUUACUGCGGCAUGUGUUUUCAGUGUGAUGGUUCGUCCAGGUACCCUAGCCUGUCAUUGCUGGAGUUGGAAAUCUCUGUUGUCUGCUGUUGUUUUGUGAAACAAGCGUGUGAGGUUAUAAGUUUCCCUCAACGUACCACACUAACCACAUUUCCCUAAGUUUUGAUGUGUAGUGUUUUCACUGCCAUUCAGUUCAAAAUAUUUUCUCAUUUCAAGUA